rnacentral:tRNA from 2 species
GGCGGGGUAGCUCAGGUGGUUAGAGCGCACGGCUCAUAAUCGUGAGGUCGCGGGUUCGAGUCCCGCCCCCGCUACCA